CCAGGGGGCCGGGCAGCCGCGUGAUUUCGGUCGCGAGGAAAGUCCGGGCUCCACGAAACAAGGGUGGCGGGUAACGCCCGCCGAGGGCAACCUCAGGGAAAGUGCCACAGAGAGCAUACCGCCGAUGGCUCCUUCGGGAGAUCAGGCAAGGGUGAAAGGGUGCGGUAAGAGCGCACCGGGGCUUCGGUAACGCGGCCCGCAUGGUAAACCCCACCCGGAGCAAGGCCAAAUAGGGGCGGCGCGCCAGCUUGCUGGCAGAUGCGUUUCGUAUCGACCGCCCGGGUUGGCUGCUCGAGCUCUGGAGCAAUCCAGGGCCCAGACGAAUGGCUGCCUCCGCGCGGCUGGUGUGCAAGCAUACCGCGGGCGGGACAGAACCCGGCUUACAGGCCCCCUGGCACU
rnacentral:RNase_P_RNA from 1 species